rnacentral:rRNA from 1 species
CACGUAGGGUGCGAGCGUUGUCCGGAAUUAUUGGGCGUAAAGAGCUCGUAGGCGGUGUGUCGCGUCGGCCGUGAAAACCUGCAGCUUAACUGUGGGCGUGCGGUCGAUACGGGCAUCACUGGAGUUCGGCAGGGGAGACUGGAAUUCCUGGUGUAGCGGUGAAAUGCGCAGAUAUCAGGAGGGACACCGGUGGCGAAGGCGGGUCUCUGGGCCGAUACUGACGCUGGAGACGCGAAAGCGUGGGGAGCGAACAGG